UGCCUCUUUUCCCUAAGGCUUUGGGGCAUCCCUCCUCCUCAGCUGAGGCUAGAGACCAAGAUGAGCUGUUGAGGAUCAUCCUUGUGCUGCUAAAAGCCGGGCAGCCUUGUUUUCAGACAUUG
ensembl:snoRNA